ACAUAAAUCACCUGGAGAUCUUGUUAAAAAGCAGAUUCUGAUUCAGUUAAGCCUGAGACUCUGAAUUUUUAACAAGCUCCCAGGUGAGGCUGAU
rnacentral:pre_miRNA from 17 species